CCUCUACCUACAUAUAUAUUCUCUUCAUCUUUUUCUCUCUCAUCUUUUGCUUCUCUUUCUCUCUAUCCUCCAUAACCAAAACACACUCUUCGAUAGCUUUUUUCUACAUCAUUCAGAGCCACUCUUUCAUCCUCUUCUAUAUUGGAUUUUUGAAUCUCUGGCUUUCUAGUUUUGGUCUUCGUUUUCAAUUUUUCAUGGAGGGUCGUCAUCUCCAUCACCAUCACCAUCACCGGCAGCAGCAGCAGCAACAACAACAUCAGCAUCACCACUCUCACAACAUCACAACCGGUGCUAACGUGGAUGCCACGGAUAGGUUCCCCCAAUGGAGCAUCCAGGAGACAAAAGAGUUCCUCGUGAUCCGUGCGGAGCUGGAUCAGACUUUCAUGGAGACAAAGAGGAACAAACAGCUCUGGGAAGUCAUCUCCAACCGGAUGAAGGAAAAGGGUUUCCAUAGAAGCGCAGAACAGUGCAAGUGCAAGUGGAAAAACCUCGUUACCCGCUAUAAGGGGUGUGAAGCGAUAGAGCCAGAGGCGAUGAGGCAGCAAUUCCCGUUUUACAAUGAGCUUCAAGGGAUUUUCGCAUCAAGGAUGCAGAGAAUGUUGUGGGCAGAAGCAGAAGGAGGGUCGAAGAAGAAGGUGGUGCAGGUAUCAUCAGAGGAUGAGGAAGAGGGAAACGAAGAGAGUGAGGGAGAUCAGAAGGGUAGCGUGAUGAAAAAGAAGAAGAAGGGGAAGAUGGUAAUAGGAGGAGGAGGGAGUAGCAGUAGCAAUAUGGAGAGUUUGAAGGAGAUCAUGGAGGAGUUCAUGAGGCAACAGAUGCAGAUGGAGGCACAGUGGAUGGAGGCGUUUGAGGCAAGGGAGAACGAGAGGAGGAUGAAAGAGAUGGAGUGGAGGCAAACCAUGGAAGCAUUGGAGAAUGAGAGAAUGAUGAUGGAUCAGAGAUGGAGAGAGAGGGAAGAGCAAAGAAGGAUUAGGGAAGAACUUAGGGCUGACAAGAGAGAUGCUCUAAUCACAGCACUUCUCAACAAGCUCACAAGAGAACAGAUGUAGUAUACAUACCUCUAACUACCUUUUUUUCUCUUUCUUCUUCUCUUCGACCAAAGCUUAAGUUAAGAGAGUUGAUAUGCCAAAAGGUUACUCAUGAGAUUGAGGUCUGUGCAUGUGAGAGAGGAAGCAGAUCAUGAUGAUCAUGUUAGUAUGCUGAAUUUCAGGCUGAGGUAUGAACUUAUUAUGACUUUAAAGUGGUAACAUUAUUCUUUAAGGCGUGUCUUCUGUGAUGAGUUGAUUUUUUUAGUUAAUAAAAUAAUUUAAAGUUAGGAAAAGGAAGAUCACAGAGAUCAGUGAUAGAAAAGGAAGUGUUUGUUCAAAAUACAAAAGCUAAGAUUGCAUGAUAACUUUUUGUCUAUAAAUUUAUGUGCGUGUGCUGUGUGUAGGGUAUAUUUGUAGAUAUCUAUGGAUAUCUUAAUUCAAACUUUUUUGGUUCAGUUAUUUUGUAUUUGGCUUUUAUUCUCAAUGUCAUGUGUAACACAGUUAAUUGUUCUUGAAACUUUAUAUUUGAUCGUU